AGCGAACGUUAGCGGCGGGCUUAACACAUGCAAGUCGAGCGAGAAAGGGGCUUCGGCCCUGAGUACAGCGGCGGACGGGUGAAUAACACGUAGGUAACCUUCCCUUCAGCGGGGGACAACGGUCCGAAAGGACCGCUAAUACCGCAUACGUUCUCCGGGACCCUGGUCCUGGGGAGGAAAGCUCCGCAAGGGGCACUGGAGGAGGGGCCUGCGUAGCAUCAGCUAGUUGGUGGGGUAAUGGCCUACCAAGGCUAAGACGCUUAGCUGGUCUGAGAGGAUGAUCAGCCACACUGGGACUGAGACACGGCCCAGACUCCUACGGGAGGCAGCAGUGGGGAAUAUUGGACAAUGGGCGCAAGCCUGAUCCAGCCACGCCGCGUG
rnacentral:rRNA from 1 species